CGCCGACGUCCAAUUGGGGACGUUGAAGGGCCAAAUGGGGCCAGAGAU
rnacentral:ncRNA from 1 species